UGCAUUGCAAAAUUGAACUUAACCUUCCUUCCAUUGCACUUUGGUUUAUGUCUUUGGGCAUCAAGCACCAAAUAAAUAACUUGUCAUAGUUUUGCCAAUAUCUUGUAGCAAGCUAUGCGCCGAGUCUGAUUGGGAUUUAUCUCAUUCCUUACUUUGUACGGGGGAGAAGUCAGAAGCAGUCUCUCUCUAGGGACGCACUCGCAGCAUGCCAAUGACACAAAUGAUAUAUUCCUCCUUGCUGCAAAGGCAGUGCCUUCUACCAUAUUAAAGUAUAGGAAGUUGAAAGUGGCUCAUUCUGAAGAACAAGAGAAUGCUCCUAAUGUUUCAGGCAGCUCUUAUCUAUCUUUACUCUUAGAAGCAUGGAAACCAAUAUCAGUGGGACACAAGAGAAGUGAUUUGGUUGUAGCAUCUCCAGUGGAAGAUGAUUUUUUAUACAAUGACGAUCUUCCAUAUCCUGAAAAGAAAGAAGCUGAGGAGAUCACACGACCAUUUUUGGAUGCUCUUGGUGGUGACUAUUCAGUUUGUUGUCAAGGUUAUAUAAAUUGUUUUGAAAAAUAUAAUAGUCGACAGAUGUUGAAUUGUCUCUCUCAUUAUCAGGAUAGAGAUGAACAAGCGACAAUAAUUGCUCUUAAACCUAUUUCCGAGGGAGAAGAGGUUACCAUUUCUUAUGUAGAUGAAGACCUUCCUUUUGAAGAGAGACAAGCAUUACUAGCAGAUUACGGUUUUAAAUGCAGGUG